AUGCACGAUAUACAACUUUGUCUGGAAAGUGUUGCCGCCUUUGGCUACCAGUACUAUAAUUGCGCGCCAAGUCAUCCAAGUACUAUUGUUUUUCUUAAUUUCUUUAGGCGUAUUUGAUAUCCAAGAACACCWCMUGAAAUUAUUUAUUUGUCCUCGUCACAGAGAUGACUUAGGAUUAAGGUGGAAAAGUAAUAAAAAAUAUUGUUGUUGCCCACCAAAUUGGGCACCUCACAAAGAGUUCCAAAGAAAAGGUGAUCGUGGAUUGACACGUGACCAAUCAAGGAUAUUGCUAGCAAGCACAUCAAUACUUAUACCUGUUGGAUCCCCUAUAUGCAAACGAUGCCGCACCUAUUUGAACGAUCUAAAGUCACCUUCAAUUAAUGUUUCCCUGGAUUCUCCAAAAGUACUUUGCGAUAACGAACGCACACUGGAAGAAGAAGAAAGCUUUAAAAAUCUCGAGGACGACAUCGAAGAAAUAGCCGUGAGAUUCUCUUCA